rnacentral:rRNA from 1 species
GGCUGCGCGGCUUACCAUGCAGUCGAGCGGGGUGAUGGUGCUUGCACUAUCACUUAGCGGCGGACGGGUGAGUAAUGCUUAGGAAUCUGCCUAUUAGUGGGGGACAACAUCUCGAAAGGGAUGCUAAUACCGCAUACGUCCUACGGGAGAAAGCAGGGGAUCACUUGUGACCUUGCGCUAAUAGAUGAGCCUAAGUCGGAUUAGCUAGUUGGUGGGGUAAAGGCCUACCAAGGCGACGAUCUGUAGCGGGUCUGAGAGGAUGAUCCGCCACACUGGGACUGAGACACGGCCCAGACUCCUACGGGAGGCAGCAGUGGGGAAUAUUGGACAAUGGGGGGAACCCUGAUCCAGCCAUGCCGCGUGUGUGAAGAAGGCCUUAUGGUUGUAAAGCACUUUAAGCGAGGAGGAGGCUCUUUUGGUUAAUACCCAAGAUGAGUGGACGUUACUCGCAGAAUAAGCACCGGCUAACUCUGUGCCAGCAGCCGCGGUAAUACAGAGGGUGCAAGCGUUAAUCGGAUUUACUGGGCGUAAAGCGCGCGUAGGCGGCCAAUUAAGUCAAAUGUGAAAUCCCCGAGCUUAACUUGGGAAUUGCAUUCGAUACUGGUUGGCUAGAGUGUGGGAGAGGAUGGUAGAAUUCCAGGUGUAGCGGUGAAAUGCGUAGAGAUCUGGAGGAAUACCGAUGGCGAAGGCAGCCAUCUGGCCUAACACUGACGCUGAGGUGCGAAAGCAUGGGGAGCAAACAGGAUUAGAUACCCUGGUAGUCCAUGCCGUAAACGAUGUCUACUAGCCGUUGGGGCCUUUGAGGCUUUAGUGGCGCAGCUAACGCGAUAAGUAGACCGCCUGGGGAGUACGGUCGCAAGACUAAAACUCAAAUGAAUUGACGGGGGCCCGCACAAGCGGUGGAGCAUGUGGUUUAAUUCGAUGCAACGCG